rnacentral:rRNA from 1 species
AUUGAACGCUGGCGGCAUGCCUUACACAUGCAAGUCGAACGGUAACAGGUCUUCGGAUGCUGACGAGUGGCGAACGGGUGAGUAAUAUAUCGGAACGUGCCCAGUUGUGGGGGAUAACUACUCGAAAGAGUGGCUAAUACCGCAUACGACCUGAGGGUGAAAGCGGGGGAUCGCAAGACCUCGCGCAAUUGGAGCGGCCGAUAUAAGAUUAGGUAGUUGGUGGGGUAAAGGCGCACCAAGCCAACGAACUGUAGCUGGUCUGAGAGGACGACCAGCCAGACUGAGACGGGGAGACGGGCCCGACACCUACGGGAGGCAGGAGUGGGGAAUUUUGGACAAUGGACGCAAGUCUGAUCCAGCCAUGCCGCGUGCGGGAAGAAGGCCUUCGGGUUGUAAACCGCUUUUGUCAGGGAAGAAACGAGUGUCUCUAAUACAGAUGCUUAAUGACGGUACCUGAAGAAUAAGCACCGGCUAACUACGUGCCAGCAGCCGCCGUAAAAC